ensembl:lincRNA
AUGUUAGAUUUAAGAAUUCUGGUUUUGUUGUUGCUUUUAAAUUUAAAUAUAAGUAGAAGUGUCCAAAUGGAUGCUGAGUGGUCAAAGGAGCGACUUGCAUAUUAUUUUUCCAAGAAAAACCAGCAUGCAAUUUUUUUUCCUUGCUGUCCUCAUAUCAGAGUGACUGAGUCUAGGAAAUGCAUUUCCCAGAAUCCUUUGCCAGCAGCCUUCUUCUGGUUUAGAGUCCAGCAAGCAGAGACCACAAUGUUUGAAAGAAGUUUCAGCACAUACAGUUCUUCGCAACUCCUUUGGAUCCCUGGAAAUUGUUCAUCUGGUGAGCUGAGAUCAUUAGUGAAAAUUUCCUGUGACUUCUGGAACUUUCUAAUCAUGCCAUGGCUGGUGAUAACAGUGGAAACUUUUAUUCUCUAAGUUUAAAAGAAAGUGGAACUAACCGGGAGGAAGAAAGGCUGCAUCCACGGAAGGCAGAGCUCUGCAGAUCUCUUGAUGCUCGAGGCCACCAGAAGACAUUUAUUUGCCUUUUCAUUACUAUCUUUCUCAAGUGAUGUGAACACCUAAUUUGGGGCUGAUAAAGGGAAGAAAGCUGGAUCCAAGGCCUUUGAGAACUCCAAAAGGAAAGGAGGAUUAAUAAAGUAUGUCAUCAGACUGACACCCCAUACAUUGUCCUGUGUUUCAGUUUGAUCUUCAUCAAACACAUCAACUGGAGAACAGCCCUGGACCCAUAGCCACAGGCCUUAAUAUGAUCCAGAUUCUACCUUCAUCGUAGCUCUGAAAAAUACAUUGCUUCUGCCAAGGCAGUUACCUGCCAGGUGCCUCGUUAUGUGUGCUCACAGCACCCUAUUAAAUUUUGGGGCACUAACCACAGUUGCGAUGUAUUUAUAAAAUUAAUCUUUUUUAUAAUUGUUUUCCACACUGUCCUGGAGAUUAUAUUAUAUUGUAGACUAAAGAAGUUGGCUUAGUUGUAAUUAUUGUUAAAUUAACAAUCAAAAUCUCUAGCCACAAGGUUCAAAAAAAAUAAUAGGGAGCACUUUUUCGGGAGAUAAACAGUGAAUGUCGUUUCAUAUUUUAGAACUUUGUUGGAUAUAUCACUCAGCAGGAAAAUAACCUCGGGUUUAGAGCAGGCUUUGCCAAUAAUUCUAAUUCUGUUGACACAGGAAUAUUUGGGGUAGCAGCUGUCAAAUCAUUGGGUGAAAUGUAAAUUUAGUUUGUAGACAUUUAUUGCAUGUAGAUUAUGUUAUGGUUAAAAUAUUGCAAAUUUUAGCCUUGGAAGCAACUCAAAAUACAAUCAAAUAUCCCAAUUUUACAAGUGAACAUGGUAUGUGCUCAAAGUCAUAGUUAUUCAGUUUCAAAGCUGAACUUAAAAGGUGUAUUCUUAUCAAUAUCUGUACCCCUUCUGAUAAACAGAGGACAUUACUAAGUUCCAUAAAUCUACAUCAGUCAGUGAGUGCCAAUUCCCUGAAAUGUUUGGGCAAGUUACAUGGGUGACUAGCCACAAGUCACUUUAGGGAAGCAAACAAUUGGACCUGUGUCAGCUGACUGAACUAAGAUACUGAAGCAAUAAACUCUGGGAGAUGUGCUCAUACCGAUACCGUCAGCCCAGUUUCAAAUUAUAUUGCUCCCUUUUGUUGAGCACACUUAGAAUCUAUUUUCACUCAUGUUGCCACACAUUUAUAGAAGUGAAUAUCCAUGUUCUGAAAUUCUUUGAGCCUGUAGGACCCAUGUUGGUACAUGAUUCCUAAGUGGAACCCUAGAGACCAUGAAAAAUGGAUCGUUGGAUAUGAAAGAAAUUGGCUUAAUUUUCUUCUUUCUUCUUCUUCUUUUUUUUUGUAAAGGCAGGGCUUGAUCCAGCUUACACAAAAGCAGUUUAAUUGACAGUAUACAAUUUUCCAAAAUAUAGUUUUGUAAGAAAAUGGCAAUAGUUAAGUAUAGUCUUUACAAACAAUAUUCUCAGUAAAUUCCAAUGUGCUUCAGCCCACUGUGCAUGAAGACACAUGCUCCUCCUGUGCCCUGGGCCAACUAACAUUCACUAAUAACAAAAAAGACACUCAUCAAAUAGUAAUCCUUCCCUUCCACUCAGUGUUGGGUUUUCACCAAACCUGAGCAGAUCAGCUCAUGACGGUCAUAAAAAAUAAGCUAUUGCUUUACUCUUAACCCCUGCGGCCUUCCUGAACCUUGUUCCCUUUGAUUUUUAGUCCUGCUAGUGGAAGAUCUAUAUAUAAAAGCUCAUUCAAAACUGUUUCUUGACAGAAAAGGAUCACUUACACUCCAAGGAAGUAUAGACCAGGAUCGCUCCUAUUGUGGUCCUCAGGCCCUCCCUAACCUUGCUGCAAAUUGGCUUAAUUUUCUAUUGUACUACUCUUAUUCAGGGGAAUUACAGUGUUUCAAGCAAAUGGGAAAGGGUUUCUUUUUCUGGCAAGAGGAGUGCAGUGGCAUUGGAAUAUGAGGAUAUUUCAAACCCCCCAGAAUCUCACCCAUAUAAUCAACGCUACUGUGGUCCUCACUCCCUCAACCAAUGCCAAAAUCCAGGAGCCAGAGAUAUGAGUCUUAGGUAAUUUUAAAUUUUCUGGAAGUCACCUUCUAAAAAGUAAAAAUUAAACCAAUGAAAUUAUCUUUAUAUUGUAUUUAAUGCAGUAUACCGCAAAUAUUAUCGUUUCAACAUAUAAACAGUAUAAAAAUUAAUAAUGAGGUAUUUUACAGUCUUUUUUUCUAAGCACUAAGUCUUUAAUAUCUAGGGAUUAGCCAUAUGGGGUUAGUGGCCACCAUAAUGGACAACAUAGGCUUUAUUCUCUUUUCUUUCUUUCCAUAUGAUUGUAAGUAGACAUCCCAUCUUACCGUCUUGAAUUCCUCAUGCCUUGUGUGCCUUCAUUGCCAGGUUUCUACCUGUCAUAAUAAUAGAGAUUUUCAUUCCCCACCCUCAUUCUUUAGCCCAUAACCAAUCCAAAAAAUCUUACUUCUCAAAGCAUCCGUCGUCAACAAUCUAUUCCCAAAUACCAAUUUCUUCACCAGACCUUUUUGUUGUAAGCAACACCACUAAUUCUGGAGAGCUUAAGAAAGAAAAUAUUUUUCUAAAUAAAUAAUGAUUAGUUCAACAGUGCAUAGGAAAGCUGGAGAAUCAGUCCCAGGAAAUAAGCAAACAGUAAAAGUUUGGUUAAGAAUCAGGGAAUAUAGUCCAGUCUAUGUGAAGGAUGCCACUCUUGGCUCUUCUACAAGACUGAAUACAGCUACACUAACAUCUCUAGUGGUACUUGCAUCUUUGCAGAUUCAAGGUCAAAGCUGAAGAACUUCACUAGUUCAGGAUCACGGCACUCUCGGGAGUCAGGGAGAUGCGAUACCUGGGUAUUUGAACUUUUGUAUUAGAAGGUAGAACUCUGAUCACUUGAAUCAAGGGAAUUCUUCCCAAAUGAGAAGAGUAGUAGGAUAACGGAUGGUCGGAUAAUGGGCAGCAGGAUAAAGAAGGCAACUGUCUACUAUAAAAACACCCAGGGAAUAAAUACAGUGGAGUAAGUGCAUUUUCUAGUUUAUGGCAAUGAAUAUAUGGAGGGCCAUAAAUAUGUUAAAUAAAAACUAAAGACUUACUGUCUUCUUUGAAAUGAGAGUUCCAUUAUUUUUUGUGAUCAAAUUUAUAUUGUUAGGUAUUUUAAAUUUCAAACAUAAUGUUUCUGGUUUUAACAAGUUAAAAAAAAAAAAAAAAACAACCCUCGUAAUCCUUCUUGAGGUUGCCAGUGUUAACAGUUUGGAAGGAUUUUUCCUGGAGUGAAAUUUUAGAGACUUCUCUGACCAUAUUAUUCUGAAGCGAUAAAGAAAAGUCUCAAUCAAUUCUUUAUACUUUUAAUUUUGAUGUUGUUGUCAGUCUUAAAGUCCCUAAGAAAAGGAAUCAGUUAGCUCUGAGCACAACUUUUUAAAAAAGGCUUAAAAAAUAUUUGUUAUGGAAUCAAAGCGGUAGCAUUCAAUAUUUCAGUAGAAAAGGGAGGCAAUCAUGGAACUCAUCAUUUACAUUAAUUUCA